rnacentral:rRNA from 1 species
CGCCCGUCGCAGAUUGAUUGGGUUGAAGCAGGAGUUGUAACUCGUGCCGUGAGGAAUCAAAAGAACUGCGGCAGCUGUUGGGCCAUGGCAGUUGCAGCCUCGGUCGAGGCAGUUCAUUACCUUAAGACCUUCCAAUCAAUCGCUUUAUCAGUUCAAGAGCUUGUCGACUGCAACAUAGAGAACCAUGGGUGUAGUGUGCAAGGAGAUCCUUUGCAGGGAUACACAAGAGGAAUCAUGGAUUGUAAAUUUGAUAGGAGGCUUACCGGCUGGCAUGCUGUCCUGGUCGUCGGUUAUGGCACGGACUCCUAUGGUGUCAAGUACUGGCGCAUCAAGAAUUCAUGGGGGAAACAUUGGGGCGAGGGGGGAUAUGCGAGGAUCCGAAGACACGUUGCCGACAGGCGAGGUGUGCUGGGCAUUUUCAUGUUGAACCAGUAUAUCCGGUGCUGACGACCUAAAUGACCUCUUUUGAUUGGAUCGAUCUUAAACAUGUGA